UGUCUUGACAAAAGAAACAAAAAACUAAUCUUUGGUUAACAUUUACUAUAUCUGAUGCUUGUUUUUUACCUUGUUUUUGUUUUCCUUGACCUUCGUAAUGCAGAUAUCAAUUCAAGAUUUGUUUCCAAAGGACCAAUACAUAAAUUACUUAAUAACAAAUCUUUGAGUUUUAGAAGUAAUAGAUAUACCUGUGAUUUAUGAGAUCAAGAAAAAGAGGUGCAGAGCCCAGAGUUGCAAAGCUACACUUGAGCUUCCUUCCCGCAGCCAAAGAAAAUCCCAGAAGGAUUAAAAUUGCCUGAAGUAUGUACUAAGUCUCGGGAGAUAUACUCAAUAAAAUUGCAAAGAUCAUUAUAUGGUCUUAAAUAAUCAGGGCGUACGUGGUAUAAUCGUCUUAGUGAGUACUUGAUAAAUGAAGGUUAUAUAAAUGAUGUCAUUUAUCCAUUUGUUUUUAUUAAGAAAACGAAAUCAGAGUUUGUUAUA